GACAGAGGAUGCAAGCGUUAUCCGGAAUGAUUGGGCGUAAAGCGUCUGUAGGUGGCUUUUUAAGUCCGCCGUCAAAUCCCAGGGCUCAACCCUGGACAGGCGGUGGAAACUACCAAGCUGGAGUACGGUAGGGGCAGAGGGAAUUUCCGGUGGAGCGGUGAAAUGCGUAGAGAUUGGAAAGAACACCAAUGGCGAAGGCAGCACUCUGGGACGUGACUGACGCUGAGACGCGAAAGCGUGGGGAGCAAACAGG
rnacentral:rRNA from 1 species